rnacentral:tRNA from 1 species
AUAUAGUUUUAAACUGGGUUAAUAAAAGUUUUGAAAACUUUUAAGAAGUGUUCGAUUCACUUAAAAACUUAUAU